rnacentral:misc_RNA from 1 species
UGGUUCUCGCAUNGAUGAAGAACGCAGCGAAACGCGAUAGGUAAUGUGAAUUGCAGAAUUCAGUGAAUCAUCGAAUCUUUGAACGCACAUUGCGCCUCUUGGUAUUCCGGGAGGCACGUCUGCUUGAGCGUCAGCAAAAACCAAUCGGCGACGGUUCUGACCGGUCGCCGGGAUUGGGGCGGGGCGUCGGGGUGAAACCCCCUCCCCCCCUUAAUAUGGUCGAAGCUUGCGGGCCGGUGUCCCACGACCGAAGCGUAGUAGAUGUGACAGUUAAAUCCGCUGGGCUGUCGGGGACGGCGUGCACGCCUCUUUUUGCAACCGACGGUCUGAACCCCAACCCGGGGGGAGGACCGCUGACGUUUGACCUCAAGUCAGAUGAGGAUACCCGCUGA